rnacentral:lncRNA from 1 species
GGCGGAGGGUGGCAGGGGGUACUUCUUGCCGUGGAUCUCGAAGACAACCGUGGGCACGCUGCUCAGGCGCCCGCAGUCGAUGUCAAACUAAAGAACCAAGGGAGGUCCUCUUAGAAGCGGCGAGCCCAGCCAGAGCUCACAGGGAUGCUGGGAGCAUUUGGCUGUCAAGGAGAGAAGAACAGACUCGGGGGUGGAGGAGGAAGAAGGGGCACAGUACAGUCCAGCGCGUCAGGGAGGGCACCACUCCCAGAGGAACAGGAGGUCAGACGGCAGCCGCUACCUGAGGCAUGGAGGCUCCCACGGCAAUGAAGCCAAAGCCAAAGGCCCCAGCAGAGGCCUCCGGAGAAACCCCAACCUAGGCUGGGAAACGGGCUCCCUAACCACCCCUGCAUCAUCUCGUUUGUGUGAAGGGGCCCCCACUUCAAGGCAACCUUGUGGGGCGGUGGGGCCUGACCUCACCUCAUUGUACUGGCCCACAGUGGCUCCAAUGGCUUGCUGGAUGUUGAGGAUGUUGCUGCCAGGCCCCACCAGCAGGGAGGUGCCAGUGUCCAGGAUGGCCUGACAGCCACCGUCACAGGCCACCACCACGCCAUCAAUGAUGACACUUCCGAGGGUAUGCAAGAUGGCCUCAUCCAGCCCUCCCUCCCCAGGUCCUUCCUACCCUCCCCUGCCAGGAUCUGCAGUAGGGAGGGAAGGCCCCCAGCCCUCAGCCCCUUCCCUGGGGCCCCUUCCUGGAGGCCCCAGUACUUUCUGAGCCCAGAGAAAAAACCUAAAACCAUUUUCUUCCAAUUCAGUGGCUAAAUUGAGGACAUCCCACUUUCCAUGGGACAGAAACAUCAAUAAAACAACAAAUUCACCCACAUUAAGGAGUAGAGCGAGUAGCAUACUCGUUGUCUGAGAUCUGGUUUCAAGUUUUUGCUCUGCCAUUUACUUGCUGUGUGUCUCCAGCAAGUUACCCAACCUUUGUGUACUCAGGCUUCCCAUCUACAAAAUGGGUACAUUAAUAACCCCUUCUUUGACUUCCUCAAGAGGUGGUCCUGAGGUUCAAACUCAAUGUUAGUCCAUUAUAAAGUGGGGUAAUAGUAGCACCCGCCUCAUGGUGUCUCAGUGAGGAAUAAAUGAGACAGUCAUAUAAUCAUUCAGCACAGCGCCUAGCAGGCAGUAGAUGCCCCAGAAAGGCAGCUGGUCUUGUUCAUAAAGCACAGGUAGAAUAUGUGGCACUAGCACCGACAAAGGUCACCGACCUUGGAAGUGUCUAGUUCAGCUUCUCAUGGGUGGUCUUACCAGCUACUGUGCUGCAGUCCUCAGAGUGUGGUGGCCUGACGCCCGGGCCCUCACAUCCCCACACCUGGAUCAGCCUCUGGCUGAGGCCCACACAGGGUGGCCGCUCACCCACCUGUCCACAGUGAACUGCCAGUAUUCUUGCAGUCAUGGGUAUCCAGUGCAGGGAGCCUGUGUAGUAGGACAGAUCAAUGGCCCUCAGCGUGAGCAUGCUCCCCUGGUCAUUCCUGAAACCAAGGCGCAGCGCACUCUUUCAGCGAGGCUCAGGAAAGUGGUGCCCAGCCCCACCCUGGGGCGGACACCACUGAGAUCCAGCCCACCCUCCUCCGCCCCACCCCUACCCCACGCUUCAGAUGAGGUCUCCAGCCCCCCUCUGGCUCCUCGUCCGCUGGGCUUUCUCUGAAGUCAGCGGCAGCAUCCUUUCUCCUGAGCGCUGCAGCCCCCACCCCAACCCCAGAGGAAGUAACCCACCCCACAGGUCCUGGGACUGCCAGGCUGUGCCCCAGCCACCCUUGAGUGUGCCCAGCUGUCUCCCUAGGCUCCUACUCCCUGUCAGCCGCCACCCAGGGCUUUCUGCCUCUAGUAGGAAAGGAGGUCUUCAACAAAAUCUACACUUUGGAUUGAAACUGCCACCCAAACGCAAAUCCCCUCUGUUCCUCCUGGGGCCGUGUCUCACACAUGGCUGGGAAACAUACACUGUACCCACCCACUUCCGGAGCACUGCCUUGGGCUCCUAGAACUCAUCCAGCCCAUCCCAGCUCCCAGCCCUGGUACACGCUUUCUCCCCAGACAGCACCCACUCCUCCCUCAGCAAAGACUGCCCUGGCUGCCCUCGGCUGGGGCUUCCCCUGUUACUCAGCCUCUGACACACCCAAAUCUCCCCUGCUGCACCCUUAUCACACUGUUUGAUUACAAUAGUGUAUGUAAUGGUGUGCUGUCUGCUUCUCCUGCUAAAAUGUUAACUGCCAGUUUGUCUUAUCUGCUGAUGUGUCCCCAUCUCUGGCAGAGCCUCUGCACAUAGUAAGGGCCCAGUAAGUAUCUACUGGGUGAAUAAAUGCAUGAGUGAAUGCA